rnacentral:rRNA from 1 species
GAUGAACGCUGACAGAAUGCUUAACACAUGCAAGUCGAUUCGAUUUACCUUCGGGUAUUGAGGAUGGCGGACGGGUGAGUAACGCGUAAGGAACUUGCCUCUUGGUCUGGGACAACUGUUGGAAACGACAGCUAAUACCGGAUAUUAUGAGAUUCUCGCAUGGGAAACUUAUGAAAGCUAUAUGCGCCAAGAGAGAGCCUUGCGUUCCAUUAGCUAGUUGGUGGGGUAACGGCCCACCAAGGCGACGAUGGAUAGCCGGCCUGAGAGGGUGAACGGCCACAAGGGGACUGAGACACGGCCCUUACUCCUACGGGAGGCAGCAGUGGGGAAUAUUGGACAAUGGACCAAAAGUCUGAUCCAGCAAUUCUGUGUGCACGAUGAAGGUCUUCGGAUUGUAAAGUGCUUUCAGUUGGGAAGAAGCAAGUGACGGUACCAACAGAAGAAGCGACGGCUAAAUACGUGCCAGCAGCCGCGGUAAUACGUAUGUCGCAAGCGUUAUCCGGAUUUAUUGGGCGUAAAGCGCGUCUAGGCGGAAAAAUAANUCUGAUGUUAAAAUGCGGGGCUCAACUCCGUAUUGCGUUGGAAACUGUUUUUCUAGAGUACUGGAGAGGUGGGCGGAACUACAANUGUAGAGGUGAAAUUC